rnacentral:rRNA from 1 species
UACAGAGGGGGCAAGCGUUGUUCGGAAUUACUGGGCGUAAAGGGCGCGUAGGCGGCCUGCUAAGUCGAACGUGAAAUCCCUGGGCUCAACCCAGGAACUGCGUCCGAUACUGGUUGGCUUGAAUCCGGGAGAGGGAUGUGGAAUUCCUGGUGUAGCGGUGGAAUGCGCAGAUAUCAGGAGGAACACCGAUGGCGAAGGCAGGUCACUGGGCCGCAACUGACGCUGAGGAGCGAAAGCAUGGGGAGCGAACAGG